rnacentral:rRNA from 1 species
AUGGAGCCGACCUUGAAAUACCACCCUUUAAUGUUUGAUGUUCUAACGUUGACCCGUAAUCCGGGUUGCGGACAGUGUCUGGUGGGUAGUUUGACUGGGGCGGUCUCCUCCUAAAGAGUAACGGAGGAGCACGAAGGUUGGCUAAUCCUGGUCGGACAUCAGGAGGUUAGUGCAAUGGCAUAAGCCAGCUUGACUGCGAGCGUGACGGCGCGAGCAGGUGCGAAAGCAGGUCAUAGUGAUCCGGUGGUUCUGAAUGGAAGGGCCAUCGCUCAACGGAUAAAAGGUACUCCGGGGAUAACAGGCUGAUACCGCCCAAGAGUUCAUAUCGACGGCGGUGUUUGGCACCUCGAUGUCGGCUCAUCACAUCCUGGGGCUGAAGUAGGUCCCAAGGGUAUGGCUGUUCGCCAUUUAAAGUGGUACGCGAGCUGGGUUUAGAACGUCGUGAGACAGUUCGGUCCCUAUCUGCCGUGGGCGCUGGAGAACUGAGGGGGGCUGCUCCUAGUACGAGAGGACCGGAGUGGACGCAUCACUGGUGUUCGGGUUGUCAUGCCAAUGGCACUGCCCGGUAGCUAAAUGCGGAAGAGAUAAGUGCUGAAAGCAUCUAAGCACGAAACUUGCCCCGAGAUGAGUUCUCCCUGACCCUUUAAGGGUCCUGAAGGAACGUUGAAGACGACGACGUUGAUAGGCCGGGUGUGUAAGCGCAGCGAU